CGAUAGAUCUUAAUACUACUGCUCACUCUAGUCUUUUACAUAACAAGGAAAUAUGAACGCUCAAAGCUUCGUCUUUACUGCUCUUGUCUUGGCUGUGUUUUUAGGUGUUUGGACUCAAGAYGUAACGGCUAUAUCCGGGGUAUGGAAAAAGCCAUACACAAAAGAACCGGGGUCAGGAAAGCGGACGCUUCAUUUGGCAGUUCGAGCAGUAAACUACGUGUGUGAUGUAGCAAGAAAUCUUGAUUGCCCAAAAGUAAAUUGAAAAACAUGUGAUGCACUUCUUGAACAGUGACAAGGGGAACAUCUUAAAUUAAGUAAUAGAAUCAUGUUGAUUAAGAUCAAUAAUUAAAAACUUUGUAAACGGUAAAA